UGACCUUGAACUCCCAAGUCUCUUCCCCU
rnacentral:piRNA from 2 species